rnacentral:lncRNA from 1 species
UUUUUAGUUUUUAUAUUUUUUUAUCAAGAACCUCAUAGAAAAAAGUUCAUAGCGUUUAUAACAAUAUUUAUCUUGGACAUUUAUAAAAAUUUUUUUUUUUAUAAAACAACCAUGUCUCUUUUUGUCUUCAUAUUUUUGAGUCAUGAGUUUAAAUUUGAGCAAAUCUCCAAAAUAGCACAUUUCUAAGUUUACAUCACAAAAAUAGCACUCAAAAACUAAAAUGACCAAAAUAGCACUUUUCUAAGUUUAUCUUUUGAAAAUUUUAAUUUUUUUAUUUUUCAAAAUUUGAAAUCUUAUCCCCAAUACCUCAUUUCUCAACUCUAAACCCUAAACUCUAAACCCUAAACCCUAAACUCUAAACCCUAAACCCUAAACUCUAAACCCUUAACCCUAAACCCUAAAUCCUAAACCCCACCCUUU